GGAGGGUGCGAGCGUUGUCCGGAAUCACUGGGCGUAAAGGGCGCGUAGGCGGCCUGGUAAGUAGGGGGUGAAAUCCUGCGGCUUAACCGCAGGGCUGCCUUCUAAACUGUCAGGCUCGAGCACGGUAGAGGCAGAUGGAAUUCCCGGUGUAGCGGUGGAAUGCGUAGAGAUCGGGAAGAACAUCAGUGGCGAAGGCGGUCUGCUGGGCCGUUGCUGACGCUGAGGCGCGACAGCGUGGGGAGCAAACAGGAUUAGAUACCCUGGUAGUCCACGCCGUAAACGAUGGGCACUAGGCGUCGGGGGGAGCGACCCUCCCGGUGCCGUCGCUAACGCAGUAAGUGCCCCGCCUGGGGAGUACGGCCGCAAGGCUG
rnacentral:rRNA from 1 species